rnacentral:rRNA from 1 species
AUUGAACGCUGGCGGCAUGCCUUACACAUGCAAGUCGAACGGUAACAGGUCUUCGGAUGCUGACGAGUGGCGAACGGGUGAGUAAUACAUCGGAACGUGCCUAGUAGUGGGGGAUAACUACUCGAAAGAGUGGCUAAUACCGCAUGAGAUCUACGGAUGAAAGCAGGGGAUCGCAAGACCUUGUGCUACUAGAGCGGCCGAUGGCAGAUUAGGUAGUUGGUGGGAUAAAAGCUUACCAAGCCGACGAUCUGUAGCUGGUCUGAGAGGACGAUCAGCCAGACUGGGACUGAGACACGGCCCAGACUCCUGCGGGAGGCGUCAGUGGGGAAUUUUAGACAAUGGGCGAAGGCCUGAUCCAGCAAUGCCGCGUGCAGGAUGAAGGCCUUCGGGUUGUAAACUGCUUUUGUACGGAACGAGAAGCGCCGGGUUAAUACCCUGGGGUCAUGACGGUACCGUAAGAAUAAGCACCGGCUAUCUACGUGCCAGCCGCCGCGGUAA